ensembl:snRNA U6 U6 spliceosomal RNA
GUGCUUGUUUCAGCAGCACAUACAGUAAAAUGGAACAAUACAGAGAAGAUUAGCAUGGCCCCUACACAAGGAUGACACACAAAUUAGUGAAGCAUUCCAUGUUUUU